GUGCUCGCUUCGGCAGCACAUAUACUAAAAUUCGAACAAUACAGAGAAGAUUAGCAUGGCCCCUGCGCAAGCAUGACAUAAAAGAUACAGAGAUCAAUAAGCUAAGU
ensembl:snRNA U6 U6 spliceosomal RNA